GCCAGGGUGGUGCAGUGGUUUGAGCAUUGGACUAUGACUCUGGAGAUCAGGAUUCAAAUACUGGCCUUGCCA
rnacentral:tRNA from 1 species